AUGCGAAAUAAAAUAGAUUGUGGCGAUGGUAAUUGGGGUUUGGGGUUACUGGUUUGUACUGGUUUGUACUGGGAGGGGACUGGGAGGGGUUUAAACACGCCUAGCUCAUUAAUAUGCAAAUUUAUGCUGAUGAGAGGUGGGAAUAAAUGUAAAUAUGCAGACAGAGAUGGGGUUACUGGUUUGUACUGGGAGGGAACUGGGAGGGGUUUACACACACCUAGCUCAUUAAUAUGCAAAUAUAUGCUAAUGAGAGGUGGAAACCUAUUUGAAUACACCUCCACCCCACCUCUGACCACACCCACCUUUAACAUGCAAAUUCAUGCAAAUCACACACUUUUAUUUUUUGUGAAUAUUUUUUUAUUAUUAUUUUUCUCAUUCCGGAGCCAAAACCCCCCAAAAAAAACCCCCAAAAAAACCCCAAAAAAACCCCAAAAAAAAACCCCAAAAAAAUUCCCAUUUCCGGGUUGGGGGCGGGGCCAACACCGAGGCCACGCCCCCUUUUCCCGCCAGCCAAUAGGAGGGGAGGGGGCGUGGCCAAGGGGAAAGGGGCGGGGUCAGAGCCGAGGCCACGCCCCCUUUUCCCGCCAGCCAAUAGGAGGGGAGGGGGCGUGGCCAAAGGGGGGAAAGGGGCGGGGCCACAGACAAAGCCACGCCCCCUUUUCCCGCCAGCCAAUAGGAGGGGAGGGGGCGUGGCCAAAGGGGAAAAGGGGCGGAGCCGAUCUCACCUGGAAAGAAAAGGGGGCGGAGUUAAAGGGGAACUGGUUUAUACUGGUUUAUACUGGUUUAUACUGGUUUGGGGUUUUUUCUUACUGGUUUGUACUGGGAAUGGGUUUGGGGUUACUGGUUUGUACUGGGAAUGGGUUUGGGGUUACUGGUUUGUACUGGGAAUGGGUUUGGGGUUACUGGUUUGUACUGGGAAUGGGUUUGGGGUUACUGGUUUGUACUGGGAGGGGGUUUGGGGUUACUGGUUUGUACUGGGAAUGGGUUUGGGGUUACUGGUUUGUACUGGGAAUGGGUUUGCGGUUACUGGUUUGUACUGGGAAUGGGUUUGGGGUCACUGGUUUAUACUGGGAAUGGGUUUGGGGUUACUGGUUUAUACUGGGAGGGGGUUUGGGGUUACUGGGAUGAACUGGGAAUGACUUUUCCCUUACUGGUUUAUACUGGUUUUGGCUUUUCCCUUACUGGUUUUGGCUCUGGGCUGACCGGUUUGAACCGGUUUGAACUGGGAUGAACUGGGAGGGGGUCGGGGAAGGUGUUAAGGGGUCCGAACCGGUCCGAACUGGUUUAUACUGGUUUAUACUGGUUUAUACUGGGAGGGGCUCACAUGGUCUGGGACGAGAAGAGCCCCGAGAGCGUCAAACACUGAGAGGCCAAAUUCAGCGCCGGGCUCAGGGCUGGGGGGGGAAAUUUGGGGGUCAGGGGGGUCCCCGAAAUUCCCAAAAUCCCAAAUUCCCAAAAUUCCCAAAAUUCCCGAAAUUAUCCCCAAAAAUUUCCCGAAAUUCCCGCAAAAAACGACCCAAAAAUGACCCAAAAUCACCCAAAAAUGACACAAAAUGACCCAAAAUCAGCCCAAGUUUGGGGUCGGGGGACCCCAAAAUUUGGAAAUCCCAAAAUUCCCAAAAUUCCCAAAAUUCCCGAAAUUAUCCCCAAAAAUUUCCCGAAAUUCCCGCCAAAAACGCCCCAAAAUUGACCCAAAAUUGACCCAAAAUCAACCAAAAUAAUCCAAAUUUGCCCAAAUUGGCCCAAAAAUCAGCCCAAGUUUGGGGUCAGGGGGGUCCCCGAAAUUCGGGAAUCCCAAAAUUCCCAAAAUUCCCAAAAUUCCCGAAAUUAUCCCCAAAAAUUUCCCGAAAUUCCCGCAAAAAACGCCCCAAAAAUUGACCAAAAUGGCCCCGAAAUGACCCCAAAUCAGCCCAAGUUCGGGGUGGGGGAGGGGAAAUUUGGGGUUGGGGGGGCCCAAAUUUGGGAAUCCCCAAAUUCCCAAAAUUCCCAAAAUUCCCGAAAUUAUCCCCAAAAAUUUCCCGAAAUUCCCGCAAAAAACGACCCAAAAAUGACCCAAAAUCGCGAAAAAUUGACCCAAAUUUGCCCAAAAUCAGCCCAAGUUUGGGGUGGGGGAGGGGAAAUUUGGGGUUGGGGGGAGGCCAAAAUUUGUGAAUCCCCAAAUUCCCAAAAUUCCCAAAAUUCCCGAAAUUAUCCCCAAAAAUUUCCCGAAAUUCCCACCAAAAAACGCCCCAAAAUUGACCAAAAACGCCCAAAAUGGCCCCGAAAUGACCCAAAAUCAGCCCAAGUUUGGGAUGGGGGAGGGGAAAUUUGGGGUUGAGGGUGGCCCAAAAUUUGGGAAUUCCCAAAAUUCCCAAAAUUCCCAAAAUUCCCGAAAUUAUCCCCAAAAAUUUCCCGAAAUUCCCGCAAAAAACACCCCAAAAAUGACCCAAAAUGACACAAAUUUGCCCAAAAUCAACCCAAGUUUGGGGUGGGGGAGGGGAAAUUUGGGGUUGGGGGGGCCCAAAAUUUGGGAAUUCCCAAAAUUCCCAAAAUUCCCAAAAUUCCCGAAAUUAUCCCCAAAAUUCCCGCGGAAAACGCCCCAAAAUUGACCCAAAAUGACCCAAAUUAGCCCAAAAUCAGCCUCAAUUUGGAGUGGGGGAGGGGAAAUUUGGGGUUGGGGGGGACCCAAAAUUUGGGAAUCCCAAAAUUCCCAAAAUUCCCGAAAUUCCCGAAAUUAUCCCCAAAAAUUUCCCGAAAUUCCCGCAAAAACGCCCCAAAAUUGACCCAAAAUGGCCCCGAAAUGACCCAAAAUCAGCCCAAGUUGGGGUGGGGGAGGAGAAAUUUGGGGUCAGGGGGGGGCCCAAAUUUGGGAAUCCCCAAAUUCCCAAAAUUCCCAAAAUUCCCGAAAUUAUCCCCAAAAAUUUCCCGAAAUUCCCGCAAAAAACGGCCCAAAAUUGACCCAAAAUCACUAAAAAUUGACCCAAAUUUGCCCCAAAUGGCCCCAAAAUCAGCCCAAGUUUGGGGUCGGGGGGUCCCAAAAUUUGUGAAUCCCAAAAUUCCCAAAAUUCCCAAAAUUCCCGAAAUUAUCCCCAAAAAUUUCCCGAAAUUCCCGCAAAAAACGCCCCAAAAAUGACCCAAAAUGGCCCCGAAAUGACCCAAAAUCAGCCCAAGUUUGGGGUGGGGGAGGGGAAAUUUGGGGUUGGGGGGGGCCAAAAUUUGGGAAUCCCAAAAUUCCCAAAAUUCCCGAAAUUAUCCCCAAAAAUUUCCAAAAUUCCCACAAAAAACGCCCCAAAAAUGACCCAAAAUGACCCAAAUUUGCCCAAAAUGGCCCCAAAAUGACCCAAAAUCAGCCCAAAUUUGGAGUGGGGGAGGGGAAAUUUGGGGUUGGGGGGGGCCAAAAUUCGGGAAUUCCAAAAUUCCCAAAAUUCCCAAAAUUAUCCCCAAAAAUUUCCCGAAAUUCCCACAAAAAACGCCCCAAAAAUGACCCAAAAUGGCCCAAAAUGGCCCCAAAUUUGGGAUCGGGGGGGCCCCAAAUUCGGAUAUCCCCAAAUUCCCAAAAUUCCCAAAAUUAUCUCCAAAUUUCCCCCCAAAUCCCCAAUUUUUGGCUUCCCCCACUCCAAAUUUUUGGGGUCCCCCCAAAUUUUUGGGUUCCCACCCCAAACCCCCCAAAUUUUUGGGGUCCCACCCCAAAAUAUCCAAUUUUUCGACUUCUGCCCCUCCAAAAACCCCAAAAUUUUUGGGCUCCCCCACCCCAAACCCCCAAAAUUUUGGGGUCCCCCCAAAUUUUUGUCUCCCCCCACCCCAAA
ensembl:lncRNA